rnacentral:rRNA from 1 species
UGGGGAAUAUUGCACAAUGGGCGAAAGCCUGAUGCAGCGACGCCGCGUGAGGGAUGACGGCCUUCGGGUUGUAAACCUCUUUCAGCAGGGAAGAAGCGCAAGUGACGGUACCUGCAGAAGAAGCGCCGGCUAACUACGUGCCAGCAGCCGCGGUAAUACAGAGGGUGCGAGCGUUGUCCGGAAUUACUGGGCAUAAAGGGCGCGUAGGCGGCCCGAUAAGUCGGGGGUGAAAUUCAGCGGCUCAACCGCUGGGACUGCCUUCGAGACUGUCAGGCUCGAGCACGGUAGAGGCUGGCGGAGUUCCCGGUGUAGCGGUGGAAUGCGUAGAGAUCGGGAAGAACAUCGGUGGCGAAGGCGGCCAGCUGGGCCGUUGCUGACGCUGAGGCGCGACAGCGUGGGGAGCAAACAGGAUUAGAUACCCUGGUAGUCCACGCCGUAAACGAUGGGUACUAGGCGUCGGGGGGA